GCAGUAGCCACGGUAAUACGAGGGGUGCAAGCGUUAUUCGGAUUGAUUGGGUGUAAAGAGUGUGCAGACGGCUUAUUAAGUCACUUGUUAAAUUCUUCGGCCUAACUGAAGGUCUGCAAGUGAUACUGAUGAGCUAGAGGGUGGAAGAGAGAAGUGGAAUUCUCGGAGUAGCGGUAAAAUGCGUAGAUCUCGAGAGGAACACCAAUGGCGAAGGCAGCUUCUUGGUCCAUUCCUGACGUUCAUACACGAAAGCGUGGGGAGCAAACAGGAUUAGAUACCCCCGUAGUCCCUGUCUCUUAUAC
rnacentral:rRNA from 1 species